UGGGGAAUUUUGGACAAUGGGCGAAAGCCUGAUCCAGCAAUACCGCGUGUGUGAAGAAGGCCUUCGGGUUGUAAAGCACUUUUGUCCGGAAAGAAAUCCUUGGCUCUAAUACAGUCGGGGGAUGACGGUACCGGAAGAAUAAGCACCGGCUAACUACGUGCCAGCAGCCGCGGUAAUACGUAGGGUGCAAGCGUUAAUCGGAAUUACUGGGCGUAAAGCGUGCGCAGGCGGUUUGCUAAGACCGAUGUGAAAUCCCCGGGCUCAACCUGGGAACUGCAUUGGUGACUGGCAGGCUAGAGUAUGGCAGAGGGGGGUAGAAUUCCACGUGUAGCAGUGAAAUGCGUAGAGAUGUGGAGGAAUACCGAUGGCGAAGGCAGCCCCCUGGGCCAAAUACUGACGCUCAUGCACGAAAGCGUGGGGAGCAAACAGGAUUAGAUACCCUGGUAGUCCACGCCCUAAACGAUGUCAACUAGUUGUUGGGGACUUCAUUUCCUUAGUAACGUAGCUAACGCGUGAAGUUGACCGCCUGGGGAGUACGGUCGCAAGAUUAAAACUCAAAUGAAUUGACGGGGUCAUAGCUGUUUCCU
rnacentral:rRNA from 1 species